rnacentral:rRNA from 1 species
GUUUAUUUACCUUGUUGCUUCGGCGAGCCUGCCUUUUGGCUGCCGGGGGACGUCAGUCCCCGGGUCCGUGCUCGCCGGAGACACCUUAGAACUCUGUCUGAAGAUUGUAGUCUGAGAUUAAAUAUAAAUUAUUUAAAACUUUCAACAACGGAUCUCUUGGUUCCGGCAUCGAUGAAGAACGCAGCGAAAUGCGAUACGUAAUGUGAAUUGCAGAAUUCAGUGAAUCAUCGAGUCUUUGAACGCACAUUGCGCCCUCUGGUAUUCCGGAGGGCAUGCCUGUCCGAGCGUCAUUGCUGCCCUCAAGCACGGCUUGUGUGUUGGGCCCCGUCCUCCUUCCGGGGGACGGGUCCGAAAGGCAGCGGCGGCACCGCGUCCGGUCCUCAAGCGUAUGGGGCUUUGUCACUCGCUUUGUAGGCCUGGCCGGCGCUUGCCGAUCAACCAAACUUUUUAUCAGGUUGACCUCGGAUCAGGUAGGGAUACCCGCUGAACUUAAGCAUAUCAAUAAGCG